rnacentral:rRNA from 1 species
CGAAUCUCGAAAGACCUGUCUCAGUUCGGAUUGGAGGCUGAAACCCGCCUCCAUGAAGUUGGAUUCGCUAGUAAUCGCGCAUCAGCCAUGGCGCGGUGAAUACGUUCCCGGGCCUUGUACACACCGCCCGUCAAGCCAUGGGAGCCGGGGGUGCCUGAAGUUCGUGACCGCAAGGAGCGACCUAGGGCAAAACUGGUGACUGGGGCUAAGUCGUAACAAGGUACC